rnacentral:rRNA from 1 species
GGGAGCCUGAGACACGGCUACCACAUCCAAGGAUGGCAGCAGGCGCGCAAAUUACCCAAUCCCGACACGGGGAGGUAGUGACAAUAAAUAACAAUACGGGGUUCUUUAGGAUCUCGUAAUUGGAAUGAGUACAAUUUAAAUCUCUUAACGAGGAACAAUUGGAGGGCAAGUCUGGUGCCAGCAGCCGCGGUAAUUCCAGCUCCAAUAGCGUAUAUUAAAGUUGUUGCAGUUAAAAAGCUCGUAGUUGAAUUUCGGGGUUAGUAGGUUGGUCAUGCCUCUGGUAUGUACUGGUCUCACUGAUUCCUCCUUCCUUAUGAACCGUAAUGCCAUUAAUUUGGUGUUGCGGGGAAUUUGGACUGUUACUUUGAAAAAAUUAGAGUGUUUAAAGCAAGCUAACGCUUGAAUACAUUAGCAUGGAAUAAUGAAAUAGGACGUUCGAUCUUAUUUUGUUGGUUUCUAGGAUUGACGUAAUGAUUAAUAGGGAUAGUUGGGGGCAUUAGUAUUCAAUUGUCAGAGGUGAAAUUCUUGGAUUUAUUGAAGACUAACUACUGCGAAAGCAUUUGCCAAGGAUGUUUUCAUUAAUCAAGAACGAAAGUUAGGGGAUCGAAGACGAUCAGAUACCGUCGUAGUCUUAACCAUAAACUAUGCCGACUAGGGAUCGGAUGAUGUUAAUUUUUUAAUGACUCAUUCGGCGCCUUACGGGAA